CUGGAAGAUUACCAGGUUGAUAGGUGGUAGGUGUAAGCGCGGUAACGUGUUGAGCCGAGCCAUACUAAUAGGUCGUGAGGCUUGACCACAUCACAUCA
rnacentral:rRNA from 1 species